UACGGAGGGUGCGAGCGUUGUCCGGAAUCACUGGGCGUAAAGGGCGCGUAGGCGGUUUGGUAAGUCACGUGUGAAAUCCCGGCGCUCAACGCCGGGGCUGCAUGUGAGACUGUCAGACUAGAGCUCGGUAGAGGCAAGUGGAAUUCCCGGUGUAGCGGUGGAAUGCGUAGAUAUCGGGAGGAACACCGGUGGCGAAGGCGGCUUGCUGGGCCGAUGCUGACGCUGAGGCGCGAAAGCCAGGGUAGCAAACGGG
rnacentral:rRNA from 1 species